GUUUGUGGUCCCAGAAGCACAGAGAUGCUGGGAAACAAAAAGGAAAGAAAAUGUAUCCAAGGAGGAGAUCCAACUGCUUCCAAGCCAUUUCUAGAAAUAAAAUUCUGAUGCGGACUCAUUACCAUUCCACUUCCCAGCGCCGAUUGGCUUCCUCAGGAUUUCAGAGUAUGCAUCUGAGGAUUCAGACUGUGCAUCAUAAAGUUUCCCUCAGCAACUGCUAAAACUACUCACAAGGCACUGCAGGAUGGAGCAGCUCUCAAAGAUGGAAUGGACUUUCAAUACUUUUGAAGUUAUGCAUCUAGUCAGGAAACACAUCGGGCAGAAUGGGAAAAAAAAUAAAAGAAGAAAUGGCACUUUCAUGUUUCUAUUUGCAAGCUGGAUUCGUCACUCCUCAGCUAUUACCUACAGAGUCACAGAUGGAUGCUGGUUUGCCGGAAAAUAAAUGAAGCACAAGGAUGACUUCAAACAUUUGCAGGAGCCAUGCUGACACUCAAAAUAUAGAAACAUCAAGUAACUUUCCUGGUGAGAUCAUAAAAGCAGAGCCACAGUGAUCAAAGAAGAAAAUGCAAGACUCUUACUCCGUUCCUAAUACAAGAUACAUUCUCCUUCUGGGACCAGGAGCCUCCAUGGCACAGAGAUGCUCCCACAGUCUACAAAUACAGUACACAAGGUUGUCAGGAAAAUGACUGUCAUACCUUCGGCACAAAUGGCAAGGAGUAGAGGCAGUGCGGUGACACAUGGCACGGGACAGAUGCUCGGCGCUUCCCGGGAUGCACAAUGCCUGAUGGUGAGGAAUCCUGGCGGGCCAAGGACAGGAGGCUCUUGUUCCCCCUCUGAUUUCCCCGUGCAGCUUGUGAUUAAACUGGUGCUGACACCUUGCCCGGUGCCUGUUUGCACAGCCAAUAGCCCUGGGCAGGAUUGCUGGCUGUGAAGCACCUACUGGAAAAGGAGAGAAUCUCAUUGUUUGAGAGCAUCUUUGCCCCUGGCAUUUGUUAAACAGGAAACAAAACUGAUUUUCUCCUCGCUUGCCUCACGUAGAUGUGGGGUAGAUUCAAGCUGUGGCAGCCCUGUGAAAUGAGAGUGAACAGGGGUGUUUGCCAAUGGAACAACCACUGCUCAGGAGGGCAAGGCUGGAGGGAUUGCACAGCAUGUGGUUUGUGCUUCAGUGACAGGACCAUAACCACCACCCUGCAGUUGUCCCUCACUGAUCCAUCGCACAUCUGAGCACUGAAGAAUGCUGGAAGAACGAAAGCUGUUUUUUCAAUGUGUAGGAGAUGGCUGUUCAGAGAAUUCCAGCCUGCCAUGCUGGGGCUCAGUGCAAGCACCAAACCCCAGGGUGGCUGAGGGAUGUCCCGGAUGGCACGAUGGAUACGGUGUGUGUGCUCCAGGCCAGGCAGUGAGGGUGCAGCCAAGCACCUGCCCACUCUCCAGUGGCCACACUCCAUCUCAAGUAUUUCCUGAGAUGAGUAAAUUCCCCUUUGGCUGUUUCUCAGCUUGCUUUCCUUGGUAUGCAUGUGACAUGCCCUCGUCGUUGGGAGUGACAGGACACCUCGUGAGCGGGUGCCGAGCUGGCCCUUGGCAAGCAGUGGGACACCCAUCAGGGACGGGAGCAGUGACCAGGAAUGUCACAACUGCAGCCUGUGCAGAGCAGCUCUGAUGAAGGUUAAA